CUGCUAUACCCAACUGGCCCUUUAAGAUCCAAAAAUAAUGUCUGGAGUAAACCCUGUGGAGUACCCAGGACAAAAACUAAUUUACAGAGCUUCAUUAUUAAUCUGCCUGUUCUUCUAGAUUAUAGUUUAACUAUUGGUGUGGCUGGCCCUGCUGAAGUUGUUUGCCUGCUUACCUGUCUUCAGCUCCUAACCUACCUUUUUUGACAUGCUACUGCGAUCAGACUGACUGACUUUGAGAAAACUACACUUUCAGCCUCUCGUGCCCAAUUCCACCAAGGAAGUUUGACUAGAAGGAACUCAUACCUUACCCCCACCAGAACUAAUGUUCGUAACAGAAAGGAACAUGCUACAUAUUCCUUGACCAGCAACUCUAGAGAACAACCCUGCUUAUUUUCAACACCUGAUACAUCUAUUUGAUCUAAUAGGCGUAUAGAAGGUUGGCAGCAGAAUACAUUGCUUCUCUCUUUGGUAACUCAGAAAUGAAUAUAAUAAGUUCAACUUGACAAGAAUCAGAAACACCAGAAGUUUACUGCUGAACUUCAUUUGCCACUAACUCAAAUAGCAUCACAGACCUGCUUGCCAAGUAGGCGGCUAGUUUUCCUGCUUCAUAUCACCACUGCAGUGGGGCUUUGAUGAAACUGACUUGGAAGGGAACCUUAUGUUGAAUCCUAGACUAUGAUGCUAAGGAAAUUGUUUAUUCAAGUGAAUUGUAGGUUUCCUGAGGACAGAACAGACAUCACUCCUGGUGAUUUUUAGAAUUUGAUUAACCAAGGAAGAAAUACCAGCUGCUAAAAGUCAACUUUAUGGGCAAAGAUUAAGCUCUCUAUAUCUGAUCUUAUCCUGGAUGCCAGUUUUUUAUUGCCCAACGACCAUUUCCAUCUCACUCUUAACAACCUCCUGGUGUUUUUUGGAACCAUCUCUUCCAAUUUUCAGUCCUUGUGGUUUAAACAUUCUUUUCUGUGCUGGACAUUUUGUUGCAACCUCACCAAUCACAGUAAAGUCUAUCUUGACUCUGGUGAUUAGUUCAGGAAUGGAUGCAUGAUUCAAGUUUGUCCAAUGAUAAUCAACCCUAGGUGUUCUCAGUUGUGGAGAAGUUCUCUUAGAUGCUUUAGCUUUGUAGGAGAGAACUCAAACCAUCAGGGCCUACUAUGUUGAGUAAGCCAGGCAGAAAAUGAAGCCAAUACAGAGGGAAAUGGAGCCAAAAGAGGAAGAGACUUGAGUUCUGAUGACCACAUUUAUGCCCCUGUAUCCAACUGUGCCUGAAGCUAAUAGUACAUCACCUGGACUUUUCAGUUAUGUGAACCAAUAAAUUCCCUUUUUUGUUUAAAUUACUUUGAGUUGUGUUUCUAUUACUCAAAAUUGAGGGCUAACGGUAAUUAGCAGCAAUGAAAUCUUGCUUGGAACGUUCAAGAUAUUAAACUAGAGGUCAAGGCCACAUUGAAAUUAUUUUCUAAAGGCAAAACAAUACAAUACAGAAACAUAAAACUUACAGGUAAAUAAGUUCAAGCAAAACUUGGUGAAUACACUGACUCAGUGAUAAAAUCUACAUAGUUAACAUAAGGUACACUUAUUGUGAUUGCACAUAGAAAAAUGACCACAGUGGGCUAAGUGAAACAGUUGGUAGAGGUGUGUCUGGUGUGAAUUCAUUUAAAGGUGUGUGCUUAUCUUUGUAAAUGCAGAGAAAGGUUUUGUUACUGGCUCGAGCAGUGUAAAUUACAUGAGAUUCAACUUCUAUAUGACUAUUUUAG
ensembl:lncRNA